AUGCUAUUUUUUCCAUUCAUUACCAUUGAGGAUCAGUCGUGGUCUUCUAGACUCUACCAAGAGUCUGGACGAAUUUGUUGUUUCAUCCAAAUGUGUAAAAGAUCAUAG
rnacentral:rRNA from 1 species